rnacentral:rRNA from 1 species
GAGGGCAAGUCUGGUGCCAGCAGCCGCGGUAAUUCCAGCUCCAAUAGCGUAUAUUAAAGUUGUUGUGGUUAAAAAGCUCGUAGUUGAACCUUGGGCCUGGCUGGCCGGUCCGCCUCACCGCGUGUACUGGUCCGGCCGGGCCUUUCCCUCUGUGGAACCCCAUGCCCUUCACUGGGUGUGGCGGGGAAACAGGACUUUUACUUUGAAAAAAUUAGAGUGCUCCAGGCAGGCCUAUGCUCGAAUACAUUAGCAUGGAGUAAUAGAAUAGGACGUGUGGUUCUAUUUUGUUGGUUUCUAGGACCGCCGUAAUGAUUAAUAGGGACAGUCGGGGGCAUCAGUAUUCAAUUGUCAGAGGUGAAAUUCUUGGAUUUAUUGAAGACUAACUACUGCGAAAGCAUUUGCCAAGGAUGUUUUCAUUAAUCAGGAACGAAAGUUAGGGGAUCGAAGACGAUCAGAUACCGUCGUAGUCUUAACCAUAAACUAUGCCGACUAGGGAUCGGACGAUGUUAUUUUUUGACUCGUUCGGCACCUUACGGGAAAC